AUGUGCUUUCUUGGUAUCCUAAAUAUAAGAUUAAUACUUCAAGUUGCUGAGUUGAGAAAGAGAUGGUUGAAUCAAAAGAAUUCCUUUUUUGAAGUUCAAUUUUUAUCAGAGGACAAUAUGAAUAUUAUACCUUGUUCCACUAAAACACUCAAGGGGUUAUACGAUAUAUCGGGUGUAGAAGUAGGCCAAUACUUCUAUUGGUAA
rnacentral:rRNA from 1 species